CAGCGUACCUAGGCCCCGCUUGCCCUCUGACUGUGCCAACCCACCUCGUGGCUGUUUUUGAGGGGUGUCCUGAGCGCCCUACAAUGUCUGCUGAAUCACAGCGUGUCGUUUACGGCGCGACGUUCGACAUCCCGUACGCCAUCGGCAGUGUCUCGGUUCCACUCGAAGCCCUUGGCGCAUCCUCACCGUCACGAGUAGGAGUGCAGGACGCGCGUGGGGCCGGCCCGUCCCCGUCCCCCUCGCGCCGUCGCGGUGUCAGCUCCGGCAACAUCAGCUCCGUGCGUCGAUGCACGCACCACCGGUACUGCUACGUCCGCGACGGCAGCGAGCUCUUGCAGGACGCCUUCUAUCGGUGGUUGGAGCAGCAGCGGCAAGAGCACCGGGAAGGCACCCAUGCAAGUAGCACGGGCGGUCCCCCGCAUGAGUCCUCCGGAGGACCGUUGACUCCUGCGACCGACUCAGCAUCCUCCACCAAUGCCCCCUCAUCGGCACCGCCCGAUGCGCCGAGUAGUCCCUCGCUCUUUUACGCCUCCGUGAAGUGCGUGGUGUUUGUGCUGCCAAAUAGCUUUCCCCGUCCCCGCCGUGUUCUGCGGCGCCCGCCCUUCAUCAUCGAGGACGACACCUGGGCAGAGCAUGUUGUGGAGGUACAACUGCACUUCUGGCCGCAUCUCAAGAUCCCGCCCGCCACGGUCGUGCAUCAGGCUCUGCUGGAGCGUCGCGUUUUGACUGCGCCACCGCCUUAUCAGAGUGGCGCUGUGUCGCCUGCGGCGCCGACGGAAGAUUUGCGCGAGGUGUGGGUGCCGCAGCUGUUGGCGAGCACCUAUGGCAAGCCGAAGUUGCUAUCGGUAGCCACAAAUGUGGCGGUGCCUGCACCGGCCCGUCGUGCGACCGCACCUGCACCAGGCACUGCCAAAGCUGCCAGUCGUGUGGUUGUCGUGGCUGAGAAGGUCGACACCCUUCACUUGUAUCACCCUUCUCUCGACGUGAUCCGACACAUUCGGGCGGUGCUCGCCAUGUCGCGGAUGCCCAUUCUGGAGGCGGUGCGCGACGCCUUCGACGCAACGUACUCGGCGCAGCCUUCUACGAAUGCGGAUGGCAACAGCCACGGUGCGCGCUCUCCCACACCCACUGACGCGGCGGCAACGUCUAGGGCUGCCGAGGACUCGUCGCUCUUAACGCCGUUCGCGCAUUCGUGGUCGCUUCCAUUUGAGGAUAUCAUCGCUGAGUACGCGGAGCAGCGGGCGUCGACGUCGGUGGCGGUGCUUCAAGCGGUAUUGGAGAAGCUGAAGCGUGAGCGGCAGGAGAUGGAGAAGUCUUGCGAGCGGUCCAUGGAGGAGAUUGCGGAGCUGGCCACCGUCGUACUCCCCACCCAACUAGAACGGGUGCACAUGCGGUGUAUGAAGCUGCACAAGAAGGAGUAGGUGAGCUGCGUCGUAGGCUGUGCCUCUUUGCUUCUCCUUCACCGCACCCUCCUCCUCUCUUCGGCUGGGGAUGAGGCGGGGUGACAGAGAUGUACUCGCCAACUGAUCCAAUGCGGGUUUGGUGUUUCGAUCCAUUUUGCGUGGGUACACCAGAAUGAAGGCUGGGUCUGCGCGCGCCCCUUUGGCAAAGGAGGUGCGUGCCUGUGUGUGUGUGUGUGUGUGUGUGCGUGUGUGCGUGCACCACAGCGAUGCCGGUCUUUUGUCGCUGCGGCCCCCUUCCUCUUUGUUAUUCGUUCACCCGUCUGUCCCGUGUGACAGUCGCCUGCUCACAAGCAACCCACGGGAAAACAG
rnacentral:misc_RNA from 1 species